GGGCAGUUCAGGGACGGAUCACGCAAUUGAUGUAUGUGUGGAAAAGUCGCAUUUGAAUUAAACUCCUACUAAUUAUUUCACAGGUUUGAACCUCAGGCGUCUUAUCACGGUCAUUAUAAAUAAUUAGUUGUUUGCGAGUUUUAUAAUCGGGAACAAAUUAUUUAAUGUGUCUGGGGUUGAUUAAAGAACCAUUUUUUCACUUUGUCUUCUCAUUGGCCAUUUUUUGUCGACAAUGUGGUUUAUUUUUAAAUACAUUUCGUCUUUAGAAGCAAGUUUGGAUGAGAAUCGCACAAGUUCAAACCCCACGAGUCAAACGCGUGGCUGCCCAGAUAAUUUACGAUGUUUGUCUUCUUGUUUAUGUAUUAUUAGCAAAUGUAGAUUAAGUUAUUAUGAUUUGAUUUCCGCAUGCGGCUUAAUAAUUAGAUACAUUUAGUGAGUCCUAAAUCACAUAUUUUUACUCUACUAACUUUACUUGUUAGUCAAUCUAUCGCUUCUAAUACUACAGUUUUUUAAGAACUGCCUGAUUAGUCAAAAUAAUCAGAUCUUUGCUUGUAUAAACUUGGGAGUCAAGAAGCCAACUGAUGGCAAACCGAAUGAGGGUAAUAAACUGCUUUAUAAAAAUAGCAAACAAUAAUAAAUUUCUCCCAAUGAA